UAUACUGAAGGAUCAAGACCUGUUAAGAUCUUAAAUAAUAAGUGUCUACUAUCAUACUUUUCUUGUCCUGUUACAUUCUUAACUCUUUCUUAACCUCGCUUUGACCAAAACCACAGACAUGUGCCUCAAACCCAUCUCUGUUAUCUCUUACAGACACAGGCAUUAUCACCCACAAAGCAGAGGUUAUGCUCAUCUACCCUCCCCUGUUGUCUCAGUCUCAAACAGUGGUGGUAGGUGGGCUCUGGAACUGCCAGUCUGCUGUAAGGAAGGCUGAUUUCAUCUCAGCUUCAGCCUCCCACUAUUCCUUUGAUUUUCUGGCACUAACCAAGACCUGGAUAUCCCCACAGAACACUGCUACACCGACUGCUCCAUCCUCUGCCUACGCUUUCUCUCACUCACCACCAGAAUCAGGGAGGGGUGGUGGCACACAUUCUCCUUGUCAUCAACAGCUGUCCUCCAACACACAGAGGAGGAAACAUCCUGGACUUGGUCUUCACCUGCCCUUCCCCAGCUACAGACAUGACUGCUACCCCACUUCACAUCUCUGAUCAUCACUUAGGAUCCUUCACUAUCAUUCUCCCUUGAGAAGCCUGAGGUGAGGGUGGUGAGGAGAAACUCCCUGAGAUGAUCUGAGGAAGAAACCCUGAGAGGAACCGGGAUCAGAAGAGAACCUCAUCCUCACUUCCUCUUCCAGAUUUCUUCUGUGUACUUGAGGAAGACGUGAGAUUUGAGGAAGCUGGGAUACACUUCCAGCUCCAUGACCUCCUGCACUUCCUGCUUGGCCUGCUGGAAGAGCGCCGUGUCCAGUGGAGAGUGACCGACUCGCUGUUGGAUGAAACUCUUUGUGGCUGGAUUGAGUUUCUUGGCCACGGUUCCAGCAGUGAUGAUGUACUUCCUGUAGAUGGCUUUAGCGAGCUUCACCCUGCGUUUGUUUGACACAUCUGUAGAACAGCUGUUUAAGAGGAUAGAGAAAGUUUACAUUAUUUAAAAUCUUCUCAUCAUGAUUGUGACAUCACAGAAGCUCAGGGUCUCUCGGUCAUUUACCUCAGAG